UCCAAAGCGGACAUGCAUCUGUGUCUCCCCCACCCCCACGCACUUGUUUGUGUCUGGCCUUUCUCCUACUCCAAGACCUGCUCCACUUCGGGGCUCGCUGCCAUGGAGACGGCUCCGGAUUUAGGAAUACAUUUCCUAGGCUUCCCGCAACUAACCCUGAUCCCUGAUCCCAAGUGGCCAACGUAGAACUCCGAGAACAGCUGGGCUUCUCCAGGGCUUCGAUAGCAGAGCUCCAGUUCCUGAAGAGGCAAAGAGUUGAGCCGCCACCCUGUUCAUCUUGCAUGGAAGGUUUUUCCCCACCUGACACCUUCUUGGCCCUGCUUGGCUCCACAGGGACACUCCAAUGAUCCCUGUACUGAAAUCAACUACCACCUUCAGAAACUGCUCUUUUCCCAAUUUUCCACAGAAGGAUGAGGACACAACUGAGCACCUCAAGACUCCGUGACCUCCACCUGAGUCCCAGGCCCUGGCCUCCGUGGCCCGCACCACUGCAGCAUCCUUGGAAACAGUAGUGGCUGAAACGUGGUGGCUCACGCCUGGAAUCCCAGCACUUUGGGAGGCUGAGCCCUGGCCUGGAUCAGCCAGAGGGAGUUCUGGGGCCACCCCUUACCAUCUGCUGAAGAUGAGCAGCUGAGGCUUCUUCUGCUCCAGGGCCCUCAGCUCCUGCCUCAUCUCAUCGCUCAGAGUCGUCUGGUCCAGCCUGAAAGCACAAAGGGAGACGGGUCCUCCUGGGAUCUCCCAUGUUGUCCCCAGGUCCCCAGGGCCCAGAAUCCCAGGACCUGCCACCUUCUGGAGGAGCGGCACAGGGAUGAAUCAAUCCUGCCCUGCCUGUUCUGAGGCCCAGAGGAGGAGGAGGUGAAAAGAUCCUGCCUCCUGCAAAGGGAUCUGCACGCGUUCCCCUGCUGCUGUUACAGCUGUUCUGCCCCUGGGGAGGAGCGCAGCCCUUGAAGUAGAAGGUUAUUCUUCUCAACGAACUCCUGGCUCCAGAAGGGAAGGAGGUGGACACCUACUCGGGACUCUAGAGGGCAAACCCCCUUGGAAGCAGCCCAGGUUUGACGGGUAAGUGUUGAGCUGGGGCGUGAAGCCACAUCUGCCUGCCACGGCCAAGCUCUGGAGAGAGGCUCUUCGGCGUAAGGGAGGUAGUGAUAGCCAAAAAUACUCAGUGGGGAGCAGCAGACUGGGGUGCAAAGGUGCUGCCCCCUCGGAUGGAGUUCCCAUGGUUGUAAAUGGCCAGUGUCAGCUACAGGAAAACCCAAAUGUAGAUUAUUUAUUUCCGUUAUUCUGCCUUGACCACUUCUCUAGGUUUGGGAGGCCUGGCUGAGGAAGGCCCGAGGCCCAGGCUUCCCGGACGCCCUCUGAGAAGGCUCUGUAUGUGGGGGUUUGGAGCCCCCGUCUGCUCCCUGAGCACAUGGCAGGGCCCCUGGCAGGAGCCACAGGUAAAUGUCAAGACAGAAGCCACCUGUGGGCUUGCUCCCAGGAGGUGGAGGGGAGUGGAAGUGGCCCAGAGAUAGUGUGGGGGUGGCUCCUCGGGGAAGGGUGAGAAUCUCUGGGGCCUACAGGAUGGGAAAUGAGGGCUGGGGGCUCACUCCAAUACGGCUGCUCAGGGUCCUUCAGCUCUCCAGGGUUCAAGUGCCUCUUUGUUCCAGGCCUUUCCCCAUAUCAUCCCUUGGCCUGGACUACUCUCCCCAACUUGGUCUGGCUCCCUAUUCCUCCUUCAGACCUCAGCCUGACAUUGCUUUCUCAGGGAAGUCCUCCCUGGCCUUCCCUGAGAAUGGGAUUUUGAUCAAAUCCCAUCCUCCCUCAAUAUUACAUUCUCAUAAUACCCUGUACUUUCCUUUCUUAGCACUCCACAGAGCUCAUAAAUACAGACUUGUGCAUUUACAGGUGACCAAUGUCCAUCUCCUCCCCACUAGAGUGGAAGCUUCAGGAGGGCAGGACCCAUGUCUGUUUGCUCACUAUCGUACCCCAGGGCCUGGCCUGGUGCUUACAUGUAGGAGGCACUCAGUGAAUGAAUGAAUGAGUAAAUGAAUGAAUAAACUGCUGCCCUGGAGUGAGGGGAACCUGGGAGUCCCUUACAGCAUGCAACCUCAGUAAUAGUUAUCAUUUGAUCAUGCCUGACUCUCUUCCCAGCACUGUCCUUGUUUUUAUUUGAUUGAUUAGUUAAUUAAUUAAAUUUUGAGACUGAGUCUCACUCUGUUGC